CCGGGGAGGGAGUUCGGUCCGCUCCCGCCGCCCCCCCGCUUCCCUCCCUCCUUCCCUCCCUCCUUCCGCGCUCGGUACUCGCGGGGAUUCGGCGCAGAGGGGGCCCCGCUCUGCCUGAGGCGAGCGGAGAGGAGAGGUGCCGCCGAGGCCCAGUCAGCCCUGGUCGCAGCGGCGGUUGGGCCGGCUCCUGAGGUGUCCCUCAUCCCCAGGCGGGGAGCAGCCCAGCGCCUCGCCGGGCGGCAGGCUGGGCCUCUUGUCAGCAGCCCGGGAGGUGCUGUAAUGGAGGGUUUCCCACUUGCCGGCGUGGCGCAGCCCCGCGGGGUCCGCCUCCAGCCCGGCAGCGUGGCGAGCUCCUGCCCUGUCCCAGCCGCCCGGCCCGUCUGGUCGCGGCGCUUUGCCCCGAGGCUCCUGCGAGGUGGCGAGCUGCCUCCUCUCUUACUGGCAGGACCUGCUGUGUCUUCUGCUUCGGCCAGUCCUUGGGUAUCUGAUUCACCUCUUCAAAGGGCUAGGAAUGGCUCUUUGCCUCUCUUUCCUCUCAUAGUCCUUAAAGGCUGCAUCUGAGCACCCUCAUCCGCUCCAACUGCUCAACCGCGUUCUCUGCUGGGAUCGUCAGGCUCAUCUCAGCCCCGGAGCCAAAGCACUUGAUUGUCUCCUAACGCAGCCAGACACUGCCAGCUUCCACCAUGCAGUUCAAACGAGUAAACAGAGAUGAACCUGUGCUUUGUACAAAGUUUUAGACAAAUGCUGCAAAUGCUUAGCUGAUGACGAAACGUUAGACAGUAAGCAAAUGUAUUCGCUAGCAGCUACAGCACUGCGGGAUUGGAGCUGCUGUCUGCCAAGGCUGAACCAGAAUGAGAAAUGAAAAUCUGUGUUUGGCCAAGGUUACUGCUUGGCUGCAGUAGCACAAAGUUGGAAUUAGUGGAGACUUUUGUUUUCAUUUUAUCGUUAAAUACUUGCGACGUUUCCCCCCAGAGCUUUUUGCAUCCUUAAAGAAAAUACGGUGUGUAAAUGAUUUCUGUGUCCCAAGGAAUCUCUGAGGCUUUGGCGGGGGGGAUACACAGUAGAAAAGCGUGGCUUGUCGUUGCUGGCGCUGGAGCGCUCUGGGGCGUAGGGGCUUGUUUGACAGUAGCUUUCAGGACAGCUCUGGGCAAGUCACUUGGAGGAGGCUGUGGGAAAUAGUUGUAGUUAUUCUAAGGAGCUUGGGAGUUUGCACAGCAGACUGGUAUGAAAGAGGAAAAGGAUACGGAGUGUGGCUGGAGCAAUCUGAGAAGCAGCCGUGCCUUGGGAAAAGUUCUGCGCUGACCUUUAUGGGGGAUCGUUGUUAAUUUCUGUGUUAAUAACACUGUAACACCCGGGAGGGGAGGAGUUUGGCUUCCACUGUGGGUCUGUGUGGGAAGAGCAGUUCGGGAGUGGUGUAUCCUCUCUCCAAAUAAUCCAGCACAGUUGCACGGAGAGGCACGGCCUCACAGGAGUCAGCUUUUUCUGGGUGCUUCUCCUUCCUGUGCAGCCUGGCACUGUAUUGGCCUCUGCUGCAAAUCAGAGGGCACCUGCUGCGUCUGGGCGCUGGGCUGGCCCCGGGACACUGCUGUACCCGCACUUUUUCAGGAUUUGGUUCUGCGUUGUGUGCAACAAAGAGGAAACUGUUCUUGGUUUGUCACUGGACCUGUCUUUGUGGUAACAGAUGGCUCUGGAUUUCCCAGUGGAACAACUUAGGCUGCUUUUUUAUCUUUUGGAAACUCAGAAGCAAAGUCAGAGGGAAGAAAUAGGCCAGGGAGAGAUGGCUGAUGCAAGCGUGCUUUGGGGCAAGAAAAGGCAGCAGGGAACAGCACAGCAAGAAGUGAGACUACAGACCAGAGUAAUUCCUGGUGGUAACCAGCGGGAGCUGUAGAAGUGUAGGAAAGCAUCAGUCUCCUCGCUCCUGUGAAAGCCUGAUCUUCCUUUUCAUCUAGGUGUAACAGAUUACUCCAAAAUUAGCCUCCUUCCUUUUUCUGGUAACCAAGCCUGUCUUUCUGCAGAGCCUUUUCUGUUCCUAUGAGCUUGCUGGGCUGUAACCAGCAUGCUCUAUGCUGUGUAAUGAUGCAGGAAAUCUUCUGUUGUAAACACCUUACCAGCGGGACACCAGGGUAGCUUUAUUGGCCUAACUAACCAGGCUAGCUGGAGUUAAACCUGCUCAGUUGUUUAUUUACACAUGUAUGCAGCAAGCAGUUAGUACAUUAGAGAGUGUAAAUGAGUAACUUAGAAAAAUCACAGAAUUGUGUUUGAGCAGGAUUGUCCUUCCUAAACUGCUAAUUUGUUUAAGUAUUUUUCUGUGAACAGUUCUUGAUUUGCCUCAGUCUUUUUGUUUAGAGCAGUCAGAAAUUAGUAAUAAAUAUCUGCUUAAAGACUACAAAUCGCGCCACACAUGAAGCGGAAAAAAUACAACAAUGCUCAGACUUUGCUCCUUUAAUGUCUUUAGUCUGAAGAUCUCAGAAGUUUGUCUAUUAAGAAUUCCACCAGCUGAUGGCCAUCCUUGACUGUUACAGUUGGGCAAUUCAGGCGUUUAUGAUGCCUGAUUGUAAGAUGUUGAAGAGGUUUGUCCGAGGUCACAAGGACAGCCUAUGUCAGACACACAUGGUGACCAUAAACAUUUUCAGCUCUCAGGACAAAACCGGUAUCUUGUUCUGUGUGCAGUGCAUAGCUGAGCUCUUAUAGCAGUCAAAGUCCAUAAGCUUUGCUAUGGUGAAAAGAAAAAUGUAUUCUAUUGAGUAAUAAUAAAAUUAUACUGAUGUCAAAUAAAACAAACACUGCUAACAGAACGAUUAACUGCUUCCGUGUCUGACAAGUCACGUUCUUCUUACAGAAACAGUUCAUGUCUCUGAAUUUUUCAUGAGCGGGAAACAGCUUUCUAGCCUGCUAGUUUAAUUGUCAUGAUGAUUUAAAAAGCAAACAAAUGUUCCCGGCAACAAAAAUUGGCGCCAUACAAAGUAAAAGGAUUACUGAAAACGAGAAAAGAACAGGUAAGGCAUGUCAGCAUCCUCGAGGCCAAUUUAUUCUUCUUUGUUGUAAAUUAGAGGUGUACCCAUUAACAUCUCAAACAGAACUGGAAAAUGAAGGCCAGCAGAGAUGUACUUGCUGAAUGGCUUUGCAGGGUAUCUGACCCAGCCCGCAGAGUGCUGCAGCAGGUUCCUUGCGCUCAGCGCGAGCCUGGUUUCAUCUGUCUGUAACUGCUCUCUUCUGUCACUUUUGUCAGCAGCAAGGGGCGCGUCGUUGUGCCAAGCGCUGCCGUGCUUCUGGCGUCCCGCUCCGCAGCCGCGGCGGAGCCCUCCUCUCCCAACAGCAAGUAGAGAGCUGCGCUGGGCGAGAGGCUGCGUCGCUCCUGAGAGCCGUGCCUGCCUCCGUGCGGGGCUUCCUCAGAGCAGCGCAGCUAUGUCUGCACUGCAGCUGAUGCAGGGAGUAGCAGUAAUUUUUCCCUCUUUCAGGAACUGCGUGAGACCAGGAGUUAAAAACAAGGACGGGCCUGGCUGGAGGGAGAGCGGAGGAGGAUCAGCCUGGGAGAACAAGAUCCAGUGCAGCCUUCAGAAGGACAGAGUACACAGAGCUGGCGAUGGCCUCUUCUCCCCUUUCCGCGAGCAUCUCUUCAUAUGCAGUCAUCAGACUUUUUUUUCAUUACUGCUUUGAAGAACAAACCCGUACUUGUUUUAACAAGUCCCAUCACGGAAGAUGUUAUUCUACGCUCUCCACCCACACAGCCCUGGGAUUUAUUUUCAUUUGAGAGCUUGUUAAACAUAGCAGCAGUCAGCUGAAGAAACCAGUGUUCCAGGACACAAAGGAUUCACACCUAUAAAUCAGGAACUUUAGCAGUGGGAAAGGACCAUCGUUGCUUUGAAAUGGAACGGUCAGUAGCACUCUUCAUAGCUACAAGAGGUUGGCUUUAGUUUUUGGUUGUGUGUUCUCUGUUCACACCCAGUGACUAAUCACAUUGUAUCUAUUUAGGUUCAUGUGUUCUCUGUCCACCUUUCCUAUAGAUAGGCCUAGGGGGAGGGUAGAAAAAUAAAAAGCAUUUGACAAUGGCUGAAGUGACCAACUUGCAGUAGAAUUCAAUCCUGUGGUAGGAUGCAAGGGACCAGAUUUCACCCCAUCUCAUCCAUGUGGGUGUUUGUGUCGCUGCAGCAGCACUUAACCCAUGACCGCGUGCGGUCACCUUCACAGAUGGCCCCAAGCCAUGCCGGGGUCAGCCAGCUGCAGCAAAGAGCAGGACAUGCUUCUCUCCCCUCGCCCUCGCAGCGGCUCGCUGCUGCACACAGGACAGCUAUUUCCCUUAGCACCUGAUGCAUUUUCUUAAGCCAGUGGCUCACAGCUGUGAAGCAGGCCGAGAUGAGGCUCAGCCUAGCAGUGACGUUGACAUUCAGAGGCACCGAAUUCAUCACGAGGUUCGCACCACGGUUUCCCCCCGAGGCAGCGUCCCACCAGCCUCGGGAAAGGGCUUUUAAUUUUAAUGUUUGUGCACGUUUCUUUGCAGUUUUUCAGUGUGCUUAAGAAAGUGUCUAUUAAGGGAGACAUUACAAGUUUAGUAUGAAACUUCUGGGAUAUCUGAAACGUGAAUAUUGUGAAGACUUGUUAUUCCAGUCAGAGGUAUUUGGAAAUAUUUAUGCCAGUCAGAGAGACAGCUUAAUAUUUAGGAAUUAGCCACUCACAUUCUGGGUCAGCCCGUGAAUAACAACUUCCUUUCUCUUCUGCCUUGUACAGUUUUGCCCUACUGGACUCUAGAACAGAAUUUAUACCCCUGCAUCAAGAAAGUUCUGAAUUUUUUACUUUGCUUAUUUUUUGCCUUUGUAAAAUAUUUUAGCAGCAUCAGCUGGGCAGGGAUGUUGAAGCUAUUUCCUGAGACAGAACUGCUUGCUCCAAGGGUGCAUUUUUUUUCCCUAAAUAUAGUUUUUCCAACUGCAUAAAGACAUAACUAAAAUAAAAUUCUUUCUCCUUUCAUUCCCUCACUGUGGCUACAGUGUAUUUUGUGAUCUCAAGUAGCAGGGAAGCUCAACUGUCCAAAAGAGGAACUUCAAAAAUGUUUUUAGCAGCAGUGAUUGAGUCUGUGGUGUUCAGGAAACAUCUCCUGCGCGGCUCCCCGCUCCAGCCAGUGCUGCUAUUUCUGAUUUAGGAUUAAUCAGCGUUUCCUCUAAGGUAAAGAAAACGUGCUCCUGCAAUUUAACAAUUCAGAAACUGCGGCUCUUCCAUUCAUGCAAUCCCUACUGGCAAGAGGAGCAGGGCAGUGAGUCACCUGGUCCAUAGGCCCGCACGUCCGUCUGUCUGUCUGCAACUGAGCCGGCCUCAUGUUAUCCACCGGCAAUCAGUUUUGCCAUUAUUUAGAACUGUGCAAGAUCACACACGCAGAGAAGCACCGUUCUGGAAAGACAAAUCCGAGACACUGGAUUUCGACUCGAUUCUAAGUUUCCCCAGAGCAAGCGGGUGUUCAGGUCUGGGACCAGGGCUGGAUCCAGCGCCCGCUGCGAUGCCGCCCUCCGUUCAGACCCAGAGAACCCAUCCACAUCUCACUGUCAUGAGAAACAGAGAAAGGAUGUCGGAAUCCACCAACCUCGUCCCGCAGCACAAGUGAAUGACCUUCGAACAACGUGAAGCAGGUUGAAUUUACAUUUUACUUCAAAAAAAACAAAAAAAAAAAAGAAAAGAAAAAGGGAAAGUACAUACAUGAGGGGAAAAUGGGGUGAACAACACUUAUCUGAAACCAGGUUUCUACCAUUUUUACCUACAGUUACCAACUGCGCUUGAAUCGGCAGGGCUCUUGCCAGCUGUCGCACACUUGCUUACAAUACGGACAGGACUGUGGGUCAAGGAAACAUUUUCAAAGUUGAGGCCCAAAUGGAAAUAGUAAGAUAUCAUACACAGUGUAAGUUUAUAGUACACAGCAUUUUUUUUUUUAAAUGACGUAACGCAACAGCAGGAAGGAGUAGUAGUAGUUAACAGUUACUAACACUAGAAUAAUCAAAUUUGUAUGUUAUACAUAUACAGCAACUAACUGCUUUACAAAAAAAGCAAAAUAAUACAAUAUAUUGUCACAUGUAUUUACAGUGUAGUAAAUAUACUUUUCUGUCAAAUUUUACACAAAAACUAUUUACAGGUGAAUAUACUGCAUUAAAAAAAAAAUUGUGGGACCAACACUAAAAGUGACUUUCUGUGGUAGGUUUGUUGCAUAACAAUAAGACGUGCUUCAUUACACUUGAAAAAAACUAACCUUAGAAUGAAACAGAAAAAGCCCUAAAACCUACAACCCAGUUAGGAAUAGAGCACUGGAACGCGCCCAGGUGCUCAGUCCACGAUACUUAUUGGAAAUGUUUCCUGUUCCUGGAAACCUCAUGCACAUUAAAGCAGAAACAUUGGCAUAAUUAACAGGUAGGUUAUGCACUAUCCAAAUACUACCGAGUUAUCUUUAAGUCAGGGAAAAUACAAACACAAACAAAAUGUUGAUCGUCUUUACAGUACUGAACUGUAGUUAGUGCGUAAUGGAUAACAUGUUCUAAAACAGGGGUGUCAAACAUACAGUCCCCAGGACGUAGUUACAUGGUCCGCAUGUUAAAAUCGGAUUUUUCUCAAUCUUAAGUUUUCACUUCGAAGUACACAGACUCCACGGCUGCAGCACCAGCCCUCAGGGAGCGACUCGAGCAGCCCUCGCAGCAGCGACUGCCCGGUCGCCGGCAGCCUGCCCGCCCCAGCCACUGGCAGGUCGGAGCUCCCAGACCUCUCUCCCGCUAAUUAGGUCAGGUUUCAGGCCCACAGCGUCACCAGCAACGACCUGCUGAUCGCUAGGAGCGUAAGCGCGGUAACGGGGUGAGGAGAGAACGGAAGCAGGCCGGACUGGGAACGGAGAGCGGCGCUCACGGGGACGAAACGGAGCAGGAUGGAGAAUAUUCCAAACGGGAAAAGAGAACAAAUAAAGGAGGAUGUGAGAAAGAAAACAAAAAGGCAAAGUAACAGCAGCAGCUGUUACAGGGAGCAGGCUCCGUGACGAAAGUGACAGUAAGGCACUGAACAACGAAUUACUAAUAGAAGUUCAAGCGUUCCAGAAAGGCCGUGGUUUCCCCCCUGAUCUAAGCGCAAGCUUCCCAACUGCUGGUACCGGGAGAGAACGUUCCUGUGUGUCGGGCACACGUGAUCCUGAAUUAAACCUUGGCCGCCAACUGUCACGACUCCCAGCUUCAGCCCCCACUACCUAACGUGUUUGACACCCCUGCUCUAAGAAAGUUCAGGUCCUCUCACUGAACCACGCAGUGAAAACAUUAAAUGACUCCCCCUCUUUCCAGGAAAUAGAAUAAAUUUAAUUUGGUUGUCUUACUUUAAGACGACACCCGUUUUUUUCAGCUGGGACUGAGAGCCUGGAGUAGUUCUAGGUCUCACACGAAAGGUAGUUUUAAUCACUGUCCACUUUGAUUUCACACUAUAUGUAUUUCAAAGAAUGCGCUAAUUCUAAUUUAGGGACACUUUUUUUUAUAUAGGCAACGCAAACUAUUGAGAGAGUUGCUCUCCAGUGCACCCAGUCCAAACAAGACGGAUUUGGUAGUUCAUCUGGAAUUACUCGUUCUGUUUAAAGAAAAUCUGCUCCUAGGAAAACCAACUGAAAACGACGUCUUUCUAACAGCAGAUUGCCUUUACAGGAGAUUCUUUUUUCCUCCUAGCUACAAAUCUUCAGGCUUCUACAAUUCAUUGUCGUCAGCGAAACGGAAAGGGCGGGAAUGAGCUUGAUUCAGUAUGAGCAAGUGCAAACCGGCAGCGAUGCGGAAGGUGGCUCUUAGCGAUCUGCUGUAUGAGAUGAGAACGGUUUUUACAUCGGCGACUCCCGACGUUUCACACGCACAGCAGCGCAGGGCCUGGCACCAGUCACUGCUCUAUUCCUACGUUCAGUCCUAGCCUCACAAUCCCUUUCAUAGUUCUGUAUCGGUUCCGUAACCACAUUUCUACUGCAGCUCCUACGCGACCAAGAAUAAAAAAGUUUGGUUAAUUGCAUGAGUCGUCGUCUUUUCCAACGUGUCUAUUUCGAGACUGCUAAUUCUAAGUUUUCCUCUUGUUUUGGCAAACUAUUUGCAUAUUAAGUUUGUGUUCAUAGUUUUUCCAGGACUGUAAACAAAUUAAAGAAAUUAAAUUGUUAUUUUAUGAAUCAAUACAAUAAAGGUAUUUUUAUUUACAUAAAUGUUACAUUGUUACUGUGUGGAUACAUGUGAAUUAUGUGCUAUAUCAAUAAAAUC